AGUUUUGAGCUAAAUAUAUUAUAAUAUUAGUUAUUUAUGGAAGGUGUUGUAAAAUCUUAUUAAAAAUUAUAUUUAGGGGUGAUAGGCCUUUCAAAAACUAAGAUAUCUUGAAUCUAAUUAAAAGUAUGUAGUACAUUUAACACAACUAUUAAGUGACUAGGCUUUAUAGAACUAUUAAUUUAUUAGAGAUUUUAUUUACUAUAAUUUAAUAAUUAAGUAUAUAAGUAUAUUAAUAUUUAUUUAUUAUAAUUUAUAAGGAGUAAUUGGAUAAAAUUAAAGUUUAUAAAUUUUGUAAUAAUGUUAAUAUUAGUAUUAAGUUUAUAUUUAUAUGAUGAACUCGGCAAAAAUGCUUCUCAACUGUUUAUCAAAAACAUAACUAUGUGAAUAAAUACAUAGCGGUUUCUGCUCAAUGAUUAAUUAAAUAGCCGCAGUAUACUGACUGUGCAAAGGUAGCAUAAUCAAUUGACUUAUAAUUGAAGUCUGGAAUGAAUGAAAAUAAUGGGAAGCUACUAUAUUUUAUAAAUGUAUAUAAUUUAUUUAUGAAGUGAAAAUACUUCUAUAAAUAUAACAGACGAGAAGACCCUAGAAAUUUUUAGUAAUUAAAAUUAUAUUUAUGAAAUUUUUUGUUGGGGCGACAGAGUAGCAUAUAAACCUACUUAAAAUAAACUUGCACCUUUUUUAUUGUUUGAAAAAUUUACUCUAGGGAUAACAGCAUAAUAUUUAAAAGUUUAUGACCUCGAUGUUGGACUAGGAAAUAAUAACUUAAAAGGUUUUUUAUAUUGCUCUGUUCGAGCAUUAACUCCUACAUGAUC
rnacentral:rRNA from 1 species